UGCAGGUGCAUGCCUCUAGCA
rnacentral:rRNA from 1 species